AUGCCCCGAAUUAUCUGGGCUACACGCGGGCUACAAUGGGUGGGACAAUGGGUAUCGACACCGAAAGGUGAAGGCAAUCUCCUAAACCCAUCCGUAGUUCGGAUUGUGGGCUGCAACUCGCCCACAUGAAGCUGGAAUCUGUAGUAAUCGUGUCUCAAAAUGGCACGGUGAAUAUGUCCCUGCUCCUU
rnacentral:rRNA from 1 species